AGUGAACGCUGGCGGUAGGCCUAACACAUGCAAGUCGAACGGCAGCACAGUAAGAGCUUGCUCUUACGGGUGGCGAGUGGCGGACGGGUGAGGAAUACAUCGGAAACUACUUUUUCGUGGGGGAUAACGUAGGGAAACUUACGCUAAUACCGCAUACGACCUACGGGUGAAAGCAGGGGAUCUUCGGACCUUGCGCGAUUGAAUGAGCCGAUGUCGGAUUAGCUAGUUGGCGGGGUAAAGGCCCACCAAGGCGACGAUCCGUAGCUGGUCUGAGAGGAUGAUCAGCCACACUGGAACUGAGACACGGUCCAGACUCCUACGGGAGGCGGCAGUGGGGAAUAUUGGACAAUGGGCGCAAGCCUGAUCCAGCCAUACCGCGUGGGUGAAGAAGGCCUUCGGGUUGUAAAGCCCUUUUGUUGGGAAAGAAAAGCAGCAGGUUAAUACCCCGCUGUUCUGACGGUACCCAAAGAAUAAGCACCGGCUAACUUCGUG
rnacentral:rRNA from 1 species